AUUGAACGCUGGCGGCAGGCCUAACACAUGCAAGUCGAACGAGUGGCGGACGGGUGAGUAAUGUCUCGGAAACUGCCCGGUGGAGGGGGAUAACUACUGGAAACGGUAGCUAAUACCGCAUACCAUCAGAUGUGCCCAGAUGGGAUUAGCUUGUUGGGGGGGUAAAGGCUCACCAAGGCGAAGAUCCCUAGCUGGUCUGAGAGGAUGACCAGCCACACUGGAACUGAGACACGGGCCAGACUCCUACGGGAGGCAGCAGUGGGGAAUAUUGCACAAUGGGGGAAAGCCUGAUACAGCCAUGCCGCGUGUAUGAAGAAGGCCUUCGGGUUGUAAAGUACUUUCGGCGGGGAGGCGUUACCCUCAGAAGAAGCACCGGCUAACUCCGUGCCAGCAGCCGCGGUAAUUC
rnacentral:rRNA from 1 species